rnacentral:sRNA from 1 species
AGCAUGGGGGUCCCGCGGCCUCAGCCCUGGGCGCUGGGGCUCCUGCUCUUUCUCCUUCCUGGGAGCCUGGGCGCAG